rnacentral:lncRNA from 1 species
AGCUUUAAACCUCACUUCUCGGGCUUCGAUCCAUAGGUCGGAACACUGUCUAUGUAAGGUACCGAACUUCUUAAAUUAUGAAGUUACGGUGGGAUGUAAUAUGCUGAAAUUUUAAUAUAAAAAUAAAUAUAAAUAAAAAUAGUGUGAGAUACUAUUUUAUUGGACUUAUAGACAUAAAAUAUAAGUCUGGAAUGACCCGUGUUGAAAUCGGAGCGAAAACAGAAGAUUUAGAAUUUUCUGUGUGAAACGGGGCAGAUAGAUUAGCAGAAAACGCAUAGUGUCAGAAAAUUCUGAAAACUGGAGGAUAAGCCAGAAUUAUUCUUAUGAGGCUAGAUUUAAAGUUUCGUAUUUUUCUGACACCCGUAGAGUGAGAAAUAAAAUCCGAAAGCCAUCUGAUAAAGAUUGCAGUUCGGCACAGUUUUCGGUGACCAAAUGGGGUCGAAACUGAAAGAUUAAAAUUUCUUUCGUUAAGUUAAGCAAAACCNAAAAUUCGAUAGUGAUCUGACAAAGAUUACAGUUCGGUACGGCUUUCGGUGACCAAACGGGGUCGAAACUGAAAGAUUAAAAUUUCUUUCGUUAAGUCAAGCAAAACCGAACAUGACUGUCAAAUUUGAGCUCAAACGGAUAUUCAGAGGG